UACGUAGGGGGCGAGCGUUGUCCGGAUUUAUUGGGCGUAAAGAGCGUGUAGGCGGCCUGGUAGGUCAGCUGUGAAAACUCGAGGCUCAACCUCGAGACGUCGGUUGAAACCACCUGGCUAGAGUCCGGAAGAGGAGAGUGGAAUUCCCGGUGUAGCGGUGAAAUGCGCAGAUAUCGGGAAGAACACCCGUGGCGAAGGCGGCUCUCUGGGACGGUACUGACGCUGAGACGCGAAAGCGUGGGGAGCGAACAGG
rnacentral:rRNA from 1 species